GCGCGAAAUCUCCACACUGUACGAAAGUACGAUGGGGUUAUCUCGAGUGCAGUCCGAUAAGGGCUGCUUUUCCAUAGAGUAAUAUCCUGUGGGAAUAAGAGGGGGGCAAGACUGGUGUCAGCCGCCGCGGUAACACCAGCCCCUCGAGUGGUGGGGACUAUUAUUUGGUCUAAAGCGUCCGUAGCUGGCUGUAUCCGUCCCCCGUUAAAUCCAGCGUCCCAAACGUUGGACUGCGGGUGAUACCAUACAGCUAGAGGGUGGGAUAGGUGAGCGGUAUUUCUGGGGUAGGGGCGAAAUCCUUUGAUCCCAGGAGGACCACCAGUGGCGAAGGCUGCUCACUAGAACACGCCUGACGGUCAGGGACGAAAGCUGGGGCAGCGAACCGGAUUAGAUACCCGGGUAGUCCCAGCUGUAAACGAUGCUAGCUAGGUGUUGGGUCGGCCACGCGCCGCCCCAGUCGCCGCAGGGAAGCCGUUAAGCUAGCCCACCGUGGGGAUACGGCCGCAAGGCUAGAAACUUAAGGAAUUGGGCGGGGG
rnacentral:rRNA from 1 species